CAUUGCAUUCUUCCAGACCAUUAAACCAACUUCUCCUAAACAUUACAUUGUAAAUAUACCCUAUUAUAAUAAAUUAAAUUGCAUUGCAACACGCUGCUUCUAAUUAACAUCGUCGACAAACCCUUUAACAUCAUGUUCCGUUCACGUUUUUCUCAAUGAUAUUUCUUACUACAAAUAACCAGAUUCUUUAAUUUCUCCUUUCUCAAACCAAUAGGGAAAUGCUAGAUUCUAUAAUAUCCACACAUCCCUUUCUUUAAUAUCUCCAUUGACAAAUCAAAAUCAACCCACAAGUGAUUAUCGACAUCGAAGGAAAAGACUGAAAUUUGGAGGCUAGAGUCGAUCAAUACGAAACGAGAUUGGCAGGAGAGGUUUAAAAACACGAGGUUUGGGAAUAGGAGGUUCAGCAAGCAUGUGAUGAUGAUGCAACAAUGCCUUUUAAAUAUUUGAUGAUAAUGUGUUCUUACCAAGUAGAAGUCCUAUGCCACCAAGGGCUGAAAACAAGGUUGUUCGUAGCUUGUCCGCGGCCUGUUCGCAUGCUGAUGCAGUACGCAUCCAAGGCGAAUACGAAAAUUUAUGUGCAUAUAUAACCGUAAGAAUGACUUAUGUCAUCAUACAGGCGGGUCAAUGGGGUUUGACAAACACCGUCGCAACUUGAAAAAAUAAAGGGCAAAAAGGUUGGAUUCGCGGAAGUAUUACUUCAUACCCACGCCACCAAGGAGUGUAAAAAGAGAUUACUUGAUGGGGAGAUCAAUGAAAAUGACUAUGAUAAGUUAGAGUUUGUUACCGAUCGUUCAAAACGUUCAUAUGUCUCUUACAUGAAACAACUUGAAAAGGUGUACGGGAACACGGAUUGUGAUGAUAUGGAAGUGUGGGAGAGUCUGCAUCCCGAGUGUCAGGGCCGCCAGUUGUUCGGGGUAGGAUCUUCUGAUCCACAUUUUGUGCUGACGGUAACACCAUCUUCCACAGCUAGUGUGUCAGAUGCCCAACAGUCGCAUGAGCUCCAAAAAGUUCAAGCAGAACUAGAAAAGGAACGAGAGGCCCGACAAAACAUAGAAGCCCGUUUUGAACAAUUUGAACAAGAGCGAGAACAAGAAAGGGCCGAACGUGAACGAGAAUGGGCAUAAGAACGUGUUGAACGUGAACGAGAGUGGGCCGAACAAGCUCGAUGGCAGAAAAACGUGGAAGCAAUGUUUAAAAAGUUCGGAAAGAAGU